rnacentral:rRNA from 1 species
UACGAAGGGGGCUAGCGUUGUUCGGAAUCACUGGGCGUAAAGGGUGCGUAGGCGGCGCGGUAAGUCGGGUGUGAAAUCUCGGGGCUUAACUCCGAAACUGCAUUCGAUACUGCCGUGCUUGAGGACUGGAGAGGAGACUGGAAUUUACGGUGUAGCGGUGAAAUGCGUAGAUAUCGUAAGGAAGACCAGUGGCGAAGGCGGGUCUCUGGACAGUUCCUGACGCUGAGGCACGAAGGCCAGGGGAGCAAACGGG